UACAGAGGGGGCUAGCGUUGUUCGGAAUUACUGGGCGUAAAGCGCACGUAGGCGGCUUUGUAAGUUAGAGGUGAAAGCCCGGGGCUCAACUCCGGAACUGCCUUUAAGACUGCAUCGCUUGAAUCCGGGAGAGGUGAGUGGAAUUCCGAGUGUAGAGGUGAAAUUCGUAGAUAUUCGGAAGAACACCAGUGGCGAAGGCGGCUCACUGGACCGGUAUUGACGCUGAGACGCGAAAGCGUGGGGAGCGAACAGG
rnacentral:rRNA from 1 species